UACAGAGGUCCCAAGCGUUGUUCGGAUUCACUGGGCGUAAAGGGUGCGUAGGUGGCGAGGUAAGUCGGAUGUGAAAUCUCCGAGCUCAACUCGGAAAUGGCAUUGGAAACUACCUUGCUCGAGGGUUGGAGGGGGGACUGGAAUGCUUGGUGUAGCAGUGAAAUGCGUAGAUAUCGAGAGGAACACCAGUGGCGAAGGCGAGUCCCUGGACAGAUCCUGACGCUGAGGCACGAAAGCUAGGGGAGCAAACAGG
rnacentral:rRNA from 1 species